UGGCCAGGAAACCGGGAAAGGGAAUAACAUUCGAAAUGUAAAUAAGAAAUACUCAAGUUAAUAAAAAAGAAAAAGAAAAAGAAAAAAAAAAAGAAACAAGGGAAAUGACACCCUUCACAAUAGUCACAAAUAAUAUAAAAUACCUCGGUGUAACUCUAUAAUCAAGCAAGAUCUGUGUGACAAGAACUUCAAGUCUGUGAAGAAAGAAAUUAAAGAUCUCAGAAGAUGGAAAGACCUCCCAUGCUCAUGGAUUGGCAGGAUUAAUAUAGUAAAAAUGGCCAUUUUGCCAAAAGCGAUCUACAGAUUCAAUGAAAUCCCCAUCAUAAUUUCAACUCAAUUCUUAGUAGAGUUAGAAAGAACACUUUGUAAAUUUAUUUAGAAUAGCAAAAAACUCAGGAUAGAGAAAACUAUCCUCAACAAUAAAAGAACUUCUAGGGAAAUCACCAUGCCUGACCUCAAGCAGUAUUACAGAGCAAUAGUGAUAAAAAACUGUAUGGUAUUGAUACAGAGACAGACAGGUGGAUCAAUGGAACAGAAUUGAAGACCCAGAAAUGAACCCACACACCUAUGGUCACUUGAUCUUUUGAAACCAUCCAAUGGAAAAAAGAUAGCAUUUUCACCAAAUGGUGCUGGUUCAACUGGAGGUCACAUUGUAUAAGAAUAAAAAUAGAUCUAUUCUUAUCACCCUGUACAAAGCUUAAGUCCAAGUGGAUCAAGGACCUCCACAUCAAACCAGAUACACUCAAACUAAUAGAAGAAAAAGGGGGGAAGAGCCUUGAACACAUGAGCACUAGGAAAAAUUUCCUGAACAAAACACCAAUGGCUUAUGCUCUAAGAGCAAGAAUCCACAAAUGGGACCUCAUAAAACUGCAAAGCUUCUAUAAGGCAAAGGACACUGUCAUUAGGACAAAUUGACAACCAACAGAUAUGAAAAAGAUCUUUACCAAUCCUAAUAUCCAAAAUACAUAAAGAACUCAGGAAGUUAGACUCCAGAGAGCCAAAUAAACCCAUUAAAAGAUGAAGCACAGAGCUAAACAAGAAUUCUCAGCUGAGGAAUAUCAAAUGGCCGAGAAACACCUAAAGAAAUGUUCAGCAUCCUUAGUCAUCAGGGAAAUGCAAAUCAAAACAAUUCUGAGAUUCUACCUCACAUCAGUCAGAAUGGCUAGGAUCAAAAACUUAGGUGACAACAGAUGGCGAGGAUGUGGAGAAAGAGGAACAGCCCUCCAUUGUUGGUGGUUUGCAAGCUGGUACAACCACUUUGGAAAUCAGUCUGGAGGUUCCUCAGAAAAAUUGAACAUUCCACUACCUGAGGACCCAGGUAUACCAUAGAAACCUUAUUUAUAAUAGUCAGAAGCUGGAAAGAACCCAGAUGCCCUUCAACAGAGGAAUGGAUCCAGAAAAUGUACAUCUACACAAUGGAGUACUACUUAACUAUCAGAAACAAUGACUUCAUGAAAUUCAUAGGCAAAUGGAUGGAACUAGAAAAUAUCAUCCUGGGUGAGGUAACCCAAUCACAGAAAAACACACUUGGUAUGCACUCAUUGAUAAGUGGAUAUUAGCCCAAAAGCUCAAAUUACCCAAGAUACAAUCCAUAGACCACAUGAAGCUCAAGAAAAUGGAUUACCAAAGUGAGGAUGCCUCAGUCCUUCUUAAAAGGGAAAACAAAAUUAUUCAGAGGAGGAGAUACGGAGACAAAGUUUGGAGCAGAGACUGAAGGAAUGGCCAUUCAGAACCUGCCUCACCUGGGGAUACACCACACACACACACACACACACACACACACACACACACACACACACACACACACAUCUGUAUAGCCACCAAACUUAGACAAUAUCGAUGAAGCCAAGAAGUGCAUGCUGACAGGAGCCUGAUAUAGCCGUCUCCUGAGAGGCUCAGCCAGAGCAUUACAAAUACAGAGGCGAAUGCUAGCAGCAAACCAUUGAACUGAGAACGGGGUCCCCAUUAGAGAAAGGAUUGAAGGAGCGGAAGGGGCUUGCAACCCCAUAAGAACAACAAUACCAACCAACCAGAGCUCCCAGGGAUUAAACCACUACCCAAAAAGUACACAUGGACGGAUCCAUGGCUCCAGCUGCAUAUGUAGCAGAGGAGAAGCCCUUGGGCCUGCCAAGGCUGGACCCCCCAGUACAGGGGAAUGUUGGGGGGCGUGGUUGAGGAGUUGGAACAUCCUUAUAGAAGAAAGGGAGAGGGAUGGGAUACAGGGCUUAUGGACAGGAAAUUGGGAAAGGGAAUUACAUUUGAAAUGUAAAUAAAAAAUAACCAAAAAAAAAAAAAAAAAACCAAACAAACAAACAAAAAAACCAAAAAACAAAAAACAAAAAAAACAAAAAAAACCAAACUGGGUUUGUUCUUUGUGUUCUUUGACAUCCUCAGUUGCUUCCUUCUUGAAAAUGGUGGUUGGAUUUUCAAAGCCAUUUGGACUCACAGUUUGAGUUUUUGUUAAGAUGAGUUUGUAGAUUAUUCUGUCAAAGGAAGAUAGUGUCCAGGGUUAUUCUUGCUGUGACAAAACACCAUGACCACAGCAACUUACAAAGGAAAGCACUUAACUGGCUUCCAGUUUUGGAGGAUUAGUUUAUGAACAUCAUGCAGGGAGCAAGGCAGCAGGCAGGUAGGAAUAGCCCUGUAGCAGUAGCUUGAGAGCUUACACUCUGAUCUGAAGGCAGAAGGCAGAGAGAGAGAGAGAGAGAGAGAGAGAGAGAGAGAGAGAGAGAGAGAGAGAGAGAGAGAGAGAGACUCUGACAUGUAUACCCCCAGUGAUACACCUCAUUCAACAAGGCUACACUUCCUAGUCCUUUUUAAACAAUCCACCAAUUGGGAAACAAAUCUUCAAAUAUAUAUGUCUAUGGUGACCAUUGUCAUUUAAACCAACACAAUACCCAUCCCACCCCACUUGAUAUGAAGCACUUAAAAGCUACAUUUGAAUUUUGUAAUUCCUUAAAGUUACAAAGUGGCAAUAUUCUCAUAUUCUAAAAAUUCUACUGCUCCAUCUUUCUUUAUUAUCUAUCUGAAAUAAUGGUAACAAAGAGACUUCUACAUCUGGCAUUUGGCUGCCCAGAGAUCUAGAACAGUUGACACAGAAAAUGUAGAGAAAAAAAAAAAGGCUAGGCUGUGUUCCUUUAACUGCCAGUUUUCAUAAUAAUGACUUAGUGUGUUGAGAAGUCAACCUACUAACUACCUAAAACAUGAGCAAGUCGUGAGUGGGUUUUAAUCCUUACAGCCAUUGUUGCAGUGGUCGUGAAUGUGGCCCAUUUUUAGUCAAUGUGAAUGUUUUUAAAUUGUCCCACAGUAGUGUGGUACAACUUUAGUAGUUUUUGAGAGAUUCCCCCCCCCCCCCUCUAAUUUAUUAUGACAAAAUGUCUCAGAUGUGUAUUUUCCUCCUCAGACUUGGGCCGGGAUGUUUUCUAAGAGCGCCGUGGCAGAGCAGCGAAUGUGCAGUGUGUUGAUGAGCUGCUGGACUCUCUGUAUAAAGUUCAGUGGCAGCCAGCACCCGCUGACAGGAAAAGAAGAGCAAGUGCCAGUUUAGUUCCGUGUCAGACCCCUGUGCAGGGCCGUUGCAGUGGUGGUGUGCAAUCCGUGUGCUCGCCUUUGGCAGUCUUAGGAUGGACAGCAAGUACCCAGUGAAAUCAGGAGCUGGCCGUGUGGGUGGUCAGGCCCACUAUCUUCCUAAUUUUAGACAAGUACGCAGCUCUCCAUGGGUAUAUGUAUCCUAUUAGCAGUACUGUGGAAGAAUAAAGUAAAAGGCAUUUUAAAUUCAUGAGUGUUAGUUUUUCAAGUGGCAACUAAGUCAUUGGGAAAUAGCCAUUGGGCCUAACUUCUCAGUGAAUGAAACUCUUGAGUAUUUAAUUUUCUUUUUGUCUUGGAGUGUCAUGAAAACUAUUGAGGUCCCAAGAAAAUUAUGAGGUAGGAAAUGUGGUAGCCCACCCUCAUUAGGGUCUCCUAGUCAGGGCUCAAGUAAGAUGCCACCAGCCAUUUUCUAACUCACCUCUGCCUGCCUGCUUAGGGCCAGCCUUACGUCCAUGCUUGCUUGGUGGGAACUCUUUUAAUUCACUUGUCUAACAUUGAGGGGUUUGUUUAGUUACAACAAGAUAGCAGAGUCAUGUCACCUUUACCUAUGUUAACAAACUGUCUCUGACACCUCCUGCAUGCUGCUGUAUUCAUUGGCAGAGGCUGAUUCUCUCCCUGAAAAGCUGCAUCAGCAAAUCUAACGUUAGAUGAACUCGGCCUCACUACCAGGCCCAGGUUACUACAAUGGAUUACAAUCUGCUGAAGACAAGUGCACAAAUAUGGGAGCCAGCAGCAGCCUCAUGUCCCUCCUGCCUUCCCUCAAGACGCAUUAGGAAUUUAAUGUGUACAGGGCUGCUCUACACACAGAAGGAGGCAGGGUGCCAGGGUCAAUCGGCACAUGAAAUAAUAAUAAAGUUGACCACUCUGUUAUUUAUUGUUUAAUAGAAUAGGAAUGGAAACAACAGUUUUCUUCUUCUUCUUCUUCUUCUUCUUCUUCUUCUUCUUCUUCUUCUUCUUCUUCUUCUUCUUCUUCUUCUUCUUCUUCUUCUUCUCCUCCUCCUCCUCCUCCUCCUCCUCCUCCUCCUCCUCCUCCUCCUCCUCCUCCUCCUCCUCCUCCUCCUCUCACAUUGUGUCCUCCCCUUUGGAGACCUCUAUCCCAGAGCAUGAAUUACUGAGUGAUUGUGUUUUUCUUGCUACCUUUGCUUUUGAGUUUAAACCUGAGAAGCCUUGUGGCAUCUAUCACUGCCUUAGGUGAGGCAGCCUGGGCCAGGUUCCAGACACCUCUGACUCAAAGCUAGGCAUGAGAAGCUCUGUCUCAUCCAUUGUUUAGAAUUAGUUAGGUGGUCAGUGCUGGAGAGAUGGGCAAUGCGUAAGGGCUUUUUUCCAGAGGACCUGCGUUUAAUUCCUAGCAUCCGCAUGGCAGCUCAUAACUGUUUAUAACUCCAGUUUGAGGGGAUCCAAUGCUCUCUUCUGCCCUUCUUAGAAAGUGGUAUAUAGACAUACAUGCAGGCAAAACACCCAAACAUAAAAAAUAAUAUGAGACUUACAGAAUCACAAAAAAUAAAUUAGUCCGAAUUUUUGAAUUUUCAAAAAAAUUUAAAUGCUGGGGGAGUAGAGCAUGUGGGAGCUAAUGGGUAGCUUUAGUUUAUCUGGCUUUGUCUGUAUCCCAGAUAUCCCUCUGCGUCAGUGAGUUAGUGUCUUUCAGGGCAUUAACUGGCUGAAAUAUGGCCAGAUCCUUGACUCAGGAAUGGAGAAGUCACUUAUGUCUGCAAAUACAUUUGAAAAUCUUAAUGGAACCACACCUCAGUAGCCUGGAUUGUGUGGCUUUGCAAAGCCUUCUGCGACAGAAAAUCCCCACCACUUCCACAGGCAUCCCAUUGUCUACCCUUAGACAAGCGUCAGAGGAGAGUUUACUGUAAAGCUUGUCAUUUAGCAAAAGAGAAAACUGCCACUGUGCCUCCCCUAUGUAGAGAUAGGACAGGAGUUGUCAAGCGAUGUGUUGUUCAUGUUUCUUCCCUCAGACAGAGAGGAUCCUGUGGGAAAGACCCUUGCAGGGGUUGGCUCAGGGGCCUGCCAGCUUCCAGGUGAUAAACUGGCUUGCUUAGGCAACAGCAAGGUAUAGAUAGGCAAGUGCCCUCCACAAAGCUUCAGGUGGGGUGUUCCUUGUCUUAGAGGAGCACCAGGAUUGAGGGUUGAGUGUGAGAGGAUUGGAAAAGGCAUCAUGAUGGGGAAAGCGAGCACUUGGAGUGUGGAGCAACCAGUUGAAAUUGGGCUGGUUAUGUGAACAUUACUGUUUGCACUUCUGCUACCUCAUUGCUAUUGUCCUUGAUAACAAUGGACUAGGUACCUCACUCUUUGUUACCUUGACUCUACACUGUCCAAGAAGAACAAAGACAUAGGCUUCAGGGAAAAGUAAGUAAGGCCCAGAACCUUGAAACACUAAACUUGGAUCUUGAGAAGACAAAAGGUCUUAUUCAAUUUGCACGUUUUGUUCUUGCAAAAAGCAGACACUUUGGUAGAAUGGCAAGGAUACAGUAAUUAAAAUAAGAGAUAGAGAUAGAGAGAGCGAGAGAUGAGAGAGAGAGAGAGAGAGAGAGAGAGAGAGAGAUGCUUUGAGAAGAGUUACUUUAUUGAAGGGGAAACUAUAAAAUAAAAAGGAGCAAACAAAACAUACAGGCUGCUUAAUGGUGUAUUGUGUGGAAGAUUAAACCAGGAGAAUGGGAAAAGCAGUGCUGAAGGGGAGGUGAUGUGUAAGAGAGGUGGGAUUUUGUGUGGGGUUGCUACAGACAACUUCAUUAAAAGAAAAGCAUUUUUUGUUUGAAUUUGCACAGCUACUUUACUGGUAUUCAAAAGGCAUCCAAUAACUUAUUUAUGAGGAAUAAUGAGAAAAUUCGAGUUACCAAUGCAAACUAAAAUAAGGGAUGUAAGAGUAUAAUGUUUAAGUAAAGUACAGAAGGAAGCAAGGCCAUGCAGGUGAGUCCAGCAAGAAGGGCAAGAACAUUUGGAAGAAAGCCACAGCCUGCAGAGCGAACCUGACGGACAGCAUAGACCUCAGUACCAAAGGGUGAGCAAGGUGGGGACUGUUAGGCAAUUGGACCUAAAGAACAGCUCUGUGUAUGUGCGAGAGAGAGAGAGAGAGAGAGAGAGAGAGAGAGAGAGAGAGAGAGAGAGAGAGAGAGAGAAACAGAGACAGAGACAGAGACAGAGAGACACAGAGAGAAGAUAGGCAGAGUGUUAUAUUCCUCACUAUUGUCAGACCUUAGAGCUUUCAGUCUUGCUGUUCGUUACAGGAAAUCAAUAAAGGACUUGAAGGAGAAUAACAUGUCCAACUUAGGUUUUUAAUAAGAUCACCUCAGCAGCUGUGUGAGAAUGUUAGUGAAUUACAUAAACAGACCCAAGGAGGGCUUAUAAGAUGGCUCAAGGGGUAAAGUCACCUGACCCAUCUGACCCAUCUGAGUUCAACGUCAGGGAUCCUCAGAGGGUGAAAGAAAAGAUCUGACUCUCAUGAGUUAUCCUUACACACACACACACACACACACACACACACACACACACACGCAAUACUAACUGAGUUAUAUUGCGAAAAGACUUGAAGUUGUAAAAUUCUCUCAAUAAAAUAUAAUUUAAGAACAAAAAUUAAAAGAUAGAAAUAAAAACAUUAAGAGUUGGACUAGUGCAGAAGCUCUUUCCCUUCACAGGAGAAAGGUAACCAAGCUUUGGAGCAGGACAAUGGCAUUGGGGUUGAUGGGAUGGAAGAGUGAGUGGGUAGGCAGAUAGAAGGCAGGAGAACGAGAAAUAUGGCCUAUAUGGUCUAUUAAUCACUUUCAUAUUGCUGUGAUAAAACACCAUGACCAAAGUGACUCAUAGACAGAGGGUUUACAAGAAUCUAUUACGUGGCAGCCAGAGCAGAAGCUUGAGGGCACACAUCUUGAGCCUCAUGUAGGAGGCAGAGAGAAUAUGCUGGGAAUCGCUUGAGACUUUUGAGACCUAACAUCCCAUUCCAUUCCAUUGUUCCUUCAGCAAGCCACACACCUUUAAACCUACCAACUGGGCACCAAGGUUAGAAACAUCCGACACUAUGAGGGGUAUUCUCAUUCAAACCACCACAGGUGGGGGAAUUGGAUGGGGUGUGGGGGGAAGAUCUGGUUCUGAUAUAACUUGUUGAGGUAUAAUUCUUACUAGAUAUCCAAGAGGAGUUUAGGAGAAGGAAGAAGAGAAUACUUUUGUAGUUCAGAGGAACUUUGUGACUGAGAGUCACUGGCAUGCAGAUAUUAUCUUAAGCUAAGCAAUUAUAUGAAACACACAGUCACACACAGACAGUCAUACACAGACAGACACACACACAGAGACAGACACACACACAGAUAGACAGACAGACACACAUAGUCACACACAGACACACAGACAUACACACAGACAGACACACAUAGUCACACAUAGACACACAGACAGACAUACACAGAUAGAUAGACAGACACACACAGAGAUAGACACACAGACAGACACACACACAGUCACACACAGAUACACACACAGACACACAGAGAUAGACAGAUACACACACAGUCACACACACACAGUCACACACAGACAGAUACACAGAUACACAGACACACAGAGAUAGACAGACAGACAGAUGCACACACACACACACACACACACACACACACACAGACACACACACAGAGAUAUAGGCUCAAAAAUGUAGGAGAAAUUUUCUUCCCCUGACAAGAAUGAGGCUUUGUUGACAACACAGCAUUCAAAUGGAAGGAGCUGGAACAAUUUAAGUAACAAGGCAGUGUAGUAUUAAAUAAUACUCAAAGAAUAAAACCAACAUACAUAACUGGAAAAAGGACAAGAAGUGAAUCUUCUUUAGAGAAAUUGUGUGUGUGUGUAUGUGUGAGCGUGUACAUGUAUGUGUGUGUGUGUAUGAAUGUAUGAAUGUAUGUGUGUGUGUGUGUAUGAAUGUAUGAAUGUAUGUAUGUAUGUGUGUGUAUGUAUGAAUGUAUGAAUGUAUGUAUGUGUGUGUGUAUGAAUGUAUGAAUGUAUGUGUGUGUGUGUAUGUGUGAGCGUGUACAUGUAUGUGUGUGUAUGUAUGAAUGUAUGAAUGUAUGUAUGUGUGUGUGUAUGAAUGUAUGAAUGUAUGUGUGUGUGUGUAUGUGUGAGCGUGUACAUGUAUGUGUGUGUAUGUAUGAAUGUAUGAAUGUAUGUAUGUGUGUGUAUGUAUGAAUGUAUGAAUGUAUGUAUGUGUGUGUAUGUAUGAAUGUAUGAAUGUAUGUGUGUGUGUGUGUAUGUGUGAGCGUGUACAUGUAUGUGUGUGUAUGUAUGAAUGUAUGAAUGUAUGUGUGUGUGUGUAUGAAUGUAUGAAUGUAUGUGUGUGUGUGUAUGAAUGUAUGAAUGUAUGUGUGUGUGUGUAUGUGUGAGCGUGUACAUGUAUGUGUGUGUAUGUAUGAAUGUAUGAAUGUAUGUAUGUGUGUGUGUGUAUGUGUUCUUUCAGAAGAUGGAAUUAUUUUGUCUGGGUGAGAGCAGGAAUUUGUGAUUUAGUUUAGAAUAAUAGAUUCUGGAAAGAAAGAAAUAAUAAUUUUAUAAUGUAGAAACCUGACAAAUACAACCUCAGGCUGGUGAUUAUCGACAAAUGGCCAGAGAUAUAUGAACAUGUUAUAUUAUCUGACAAGGUGAAAUUGGGGGGAGGGGCUCAUUUCUAAUGUUUCUUCAUUGUUAGGACAAAGAAAACUUGAAGACUUGCUGCAGUACACGCCUUAGGGUUUUACUGCUGUGAACAGACACCAUGACCAAGGCAAGUCUUAUAAAGGACAACGUUUAGUUAGGGCUGGCUUACAGGUUCAGAGGUUCAGUCCAUUAUCAAGUGAGAACAAAGCAACAUCCAGGCAGGCAUGGUGCAGGCAGAGCUGAGAGUUCCACAUCUUCAUCAGAAGGCUGCUAGCAGAAGACUGGCUUCCAGGCAGCUAGGAUGAGGGUUAUAAAGCCCACACCCACAGUGACACAAGGCCAUACCUACUUUAACAGGGCCACACCUUCUAAUAGUGCCACUCCCUAGGCUGAGCAGAUACAGAUCAUCACUGUACACAAGCCUGGAAAGGUCACAAAGAUCAGGUGAUCAUAGAACAUCGUAGGAACUGUGAGAAGGCUGGAUUGGGAGUCAGAAUAAAUAAAUGAGACAUGAGGCUGUGCCCUGGAACAGAAUGAUGGUAUUCGUGGAAAGAGGUAAAAUUCUAGUAAAAGUGGUUGGUUAAUAAUAUCUUACUAAUGUUGAUUUGAAAAGCUGUGACAAAUGUGCUAUGUCAAUGUAAGAUAGUAAUGAUUUGGUUAAGGAGCCUGUAUUAUAUUCCAACUUUAUUAAGAACCUAAAAUUAUUCUAAAAUAGAAAAGUUUAAUAUUAAAGAGCUAGGAGAACGAAGAUGCUUCCUCUUAUUUAGGAAAGGUCUUCCUCACAUUUGUAAUAUUGAGUCAGGUUCUGAUGCAUGUAAAAAAAAUGUCCAUUCUGGUGGCAAUACAUGGAAUAACAUAUCUGUGUAGAAGAGGUAAUCAGAACCGAUACUCGUUGCCAUGGUGACAGGAGAGAUGCUGCUUACAAUGGAAACAGCUCCCUCCUUGAUUAUGUGCCUCCUUUGAUGUGCUUCCUUUUUUGCAAGUUAGGAUGCGACUAAUUUAAACACAUGAUUUACUUUGCAUCUUGAACAUAUGCAGCAAAUAUUGUAGUAUGUUAUUAUUAUUAUUAAUUCUUUCAUGUAUGAAAUGCUUCCAUUAAUUAAAAUAACAAUAAGAGACAGGUACAAAGAAAGUAAAUAUACUUUAGAAACCCCAUACCUCUAGAAUUUAUUAGUAAUGGGAUAUAGACUACAUUAACAAACUCCAUUGAUAACUUUGUCAUUGACCGUGAUUUUUUAUUUCUGUUUGUUUGAAGUCUUUAUUUUCAGAUUACUUCUGUUCUAAUUAUAAGCGGUAACUUUAGGACAUGUCACAUCUCAUGUCAUUAUCACAUUCGAAUCUGAAACCUCCAAGGGCAUAACUACUCUGGGAAAUUGUAUUAGCUCGUGAGAUAGCACUCUCUUGUUCGUUUAGAAUCAUGGGAACAUGUUUGAUAUAAUGCUAUUUGGAAAGAUACAGCAUGUGCUGGCAGUAAGAUGAGGGUGAUGAAGUAACUCUUGCUUUUGAGUGUCUACCUGGCUUGGGUUAGCUGACAUUUCUGACAUAGAACUUUUUUCUUUAUGUAUUGAGAACUAUUUUUACUUUUUUUUUUAGCUGAUCAUAUCAUGUUCUAUAAAUUGAAGCAGCAUUGAGCCUGCAUCUUUUUUCCCCUGGGCACAAAUCAUAGCUGAAUUUAUACCACUGUCAUAUUUAGUAUAUAUGAAUUCCAACUGAUGGGGGAAGUCAAGGUGUACCAGAGAAGCAUAGCACUUGACAGCCAUGCCAAAUGUCAACCCACCAGAGGAGGUCCAAAUGUGGCUUCGCCUUCGUGUUUUAUUUCUAGUGAGAGACUUCAUUUUCAAAAUGAUACUUAUUACCAAAUAGGCAAUUUUCUAGUAGCUUAAGGAAAAACUAAACUAAGCUCAGCUAGUUAGGAUGCAGGUCCUACCGGAUAGCAGAGAUUUUCAACCUGUAUCUUCAAAAAACAAACCAAACAAAAAAAAAAACCCCAAAAACAAAAACAAAAACAAAACAAAACAAAACAAAAAACCCCCAGAUUUGAGGAUUUUAGCAUCCUGGAGUCUUUUCAUUCUAUUCCCAACCACACCUCCACAUGCAGACUUCAUUCAGAAAGAACAGAUGCUCUGUUCGAGUUGUAUUUUAAAUAACAAUUAAAAACCGUCUAUUCUGAGGUAGAGGAGAAAUGGAAAUGUCCUCUAGCUUAGAGGAAAAAUGGUUAGCAGCUCUUGUUAGAGACUAGUGGUCUCCACCGCGAGGGAGGGCAGGGCGUAAUUAAGAUCUCCUCGCUGUCUAACUGUUCAAAGGAGACAGGACAUAGUGCUUUGGGGAUGCCGGGCCUCAGUCAGAAGGAUUCCUGACCUUCAAAAGCUUUGACUUCUCAUAUGGAUUAGGUCUUUCCCAGGAAUGCCUAUCUGUAUUAAAGCAGUAAUACUUGUUUUUAGUUUACAUUUACCUAGUGUGAACUGGGCGGGGGUGGGGUGGGGUGGUGGUGGUGGUGGUUAUCUGAAUGUGGUUGGAAAACAAUUAGAGAACAAUGCUUAAAGGGUCUCAAAUUUCAUUAAGACAUGUACUCAGAAUCUGAAUGCAGUAGUUAUUUCAAAGUUUUGAAACAGAUCUAUUUUUAUUUUUAAAUCCUUAUGUGUGUGGGUGUACACACAUGCAAAUGAAGGUGUCAGUAGAGACCAGAAGAGGUUCUUGGAUCCUUGGAAGCUGAAAGGACACACAGUUGGGAGCCUCCCAUUGUAGGUGCUGGGGAACUGCCAGGUCCUCUGGAAGAGCAGGAAACCACUCUUAUCUGAUGAGCCACCUCUCCACUCCCAAAUAUUAUUAUCUUAAAAGGUUGUCUCCCUGAAGGCCUGUGAAGGUCUCAGAGACUCUGGCAUUUGUGGGAGUGGAAAUUAUUGUAACCAGUAUAAAGAUUCCAUGAAAAACAAAUCAUUCGGACAAAUAACAACAAAAAAAUGCAACCCAAACCAAAAUCCUUGAAAAUGUAGCUACCAUAUGUCUCAGCUAUGCCAGUCCUACGACUGUACCACACGAAGUCAAGGUCAGCAUUCUGCAGAGAUACCUGCACAUCCAUGUCAACUGAGCACUGUUCACAUCAGCUACAAUAUGGAGCCAGCCUAGAUAUGCAGGAACAAAUGACUACAGAAAGCCAAUGUGGUAUAUAUGCACAGUGGGGUUUUAUCCAGCCAUAAAGAAGAGGAAAUUGUUAUUUUUUAAGAAAAUAGAAAAUUAUAUAUUAAACAAAUGACUAAUUCAGAAUGCCAAAUAUCAUACGCUUUCUCUCAUAUAUGGAUUCCACAUGUUUUUAAGAAAUGUAUGGCAUAAAAGUAGAAGGGGCACUCGGUGUGAGGAGGGGGAUAAUGAGAGGAGGGAGGGACUACAAGAUGGAGGGAAAGGAAUGAAUAGGAACAAAGAAGAAUACGUACAUGUAUGAAAAGGUCAAAAAGGAAGCCCAUCGCUUUGUACAAUGAAUAUGCUAUUUUAUUUUAUUUUUUUAGUGUAAAGAAAAUAUGGGCACAGGAUAUAGCUACCAAGAUGAUACCCAGUGACUCUCAACCUAGCAUUAAGCUUCCUGCAAAUUCUUUGUUUAUUGACUCAUGGCUUAGACAGAGUGUUGCAGAAGUUCACCUUCUGAGGAAAAGUAUUAAAAGUUUCUGUAGUUUCUGCCUUGCUCUUUUAAGUCGGCAGCUUUUGGUGAAUCCACUGCUGGACAAGAAGACUCUCAAGCUAUCCUGUGGGGAGCAAGAGAGGCCCCCUCUCAACAGUCAACUCCAACAUCUAGCCUAUGAGAGAAUUGUGUUGGAAAUGGAUCCCCCACACUUAGUCAAAACUUCAGUGACUGCAACCCUGUUGACAAUUGACUAUCACCUCAUGGGGGACUGCAUGCUAAAUGUAUCCAUUGAAGCUUCACAGAACCUCUGAUUUCUAAGAAAGAAGGAGGAGGAGAAGGAGAAGGAGGAGGAGGAGGAAGAGGAGGAGGAGGAGGAGAAAGAGAAGAGAAGGAGGAGGAGAAGAAGAAGGAGAAGGAGGAGGAGAAGGAGAAGGAGAAGGAGGAGGAGGAGGAGGAGGAAAAUAAACAAACAAACUAUGCUGGUAAUAUACAAAUGUCUUUAUUUUAAGACACAAGUACUUGGCAUUAUUUAUUAUGCAGCAUAGCUAUUAAUGACUGAAGAAAGUGACAACUAAAAUAAGAUAUUUGCAAAUGCCGUUCAUGAAUUUCAGAAGGCAUAGGAGGUAGUUUCAGACCUGUUGGAUGGAGAAGGUGACAAAGCAUUGCACAUGGACCACUUUGCGGGAGGGUGGAAAGGCUUUGUGGUUGCUGGCCUCAAGCAAGAUUCAAUGAUACAAUGAAAUAGCUGUGAAGACCUAAAGAAUGGUGAGGGUGUAAGUUUAAUAAGAAAAAGGAAAGAAUUUCUUCACCUUGGAUGACAGAGGAGGAAGGCCUAGAAAGGUGGCUUCAAUUCUUGGCUCACUACUGAACUUUAGAUAUUCCUGUUGCCAUUUAUAUUUCAUAAUGAAAAAGGUUGGAACCUGAUGAGUUUCUGUAAUUAGUUUGAGGUUGUAUAGCUAAAUCAGAAUUUCAUGUCUUCUCUGUUUUAAGAAUCUGGUUUCACUCUGAUGUUACCUAUAGACAGAAACAUUUUGAAACCAACAUAUUGUAUGUGGGGAGUAUAGUAUCAAAGUUAGUUACCUAAGAAACAGAUUUGUGCUUCAUAUGUUGAAAUAGCCCCUUACAAGUCUUGUAAGCAUCCAUAAACAGCAUGACUUGGAGAGGUCUAAUACAGAGCCACUGCUAUGCGAUCAUUAAAAGCUAGAAAUUUCUAGUGAAUUGAAGAAAAAGAUGGCGAUUACAGCCACAAAACCAACUCUAAAUUUAUUGUUUUAUUGCUUCUCUUACCCCAUCGGAAAGAACUUUGACUUGUGCUCAAUACUUGGCAUGUGUUUAUUAGUGUUUAUUAGAUGACUAAGGAAACAUGGCUUAGCCAAAGGAAAGAGUUUUAGAUGAAAACAUCCUAUGUAAAAUGUUCAGCAUAAGAGAGGGGCCAGGUCAAGGGUGCAGCUGUGACACUGAAGACAUUCAUCUUCAUGACACCGAUUUCUCUGCUUUGCUCUGCUGAUCUACGUUCCAGGGCAUCUCAUGUUCAGGGUCACUUCCUACAUCCUCCUGUUUACUUUCUCCCCUUUAAACCCUUUAGGAAAAUUGAGAAAUUCAGGAUUCUGUCACCAUACUAGAUUGUCUUUAAAAAGAAUCUUCAUGUUUUAUGCACCAUGAUAAUAUAGUAUUCUUUUCUUUAAAAAAAAGUAGACUACAUAUGUAAGAUAUAGUUAUGUUUGAUCUACACAUGGGUUCCCUGCCAUCUCUGUUGCGAUGAUUUUUAUAAAUAAAAAUUUAAAAAUCUAAAAUAAAUCCAACAGUGUCUAACUCCA